rnacentral:piRNA from 1 species
GGCAUAAGCAAAAGAACAGCAGGUGCAGC